rnacentral:rRNA from 1 species
AUUCGUCCAAUUGAAGCAGAGGACAGUGGCGGACGGGUGAGUAACGCGUGAGGAACCUGCCUUUCAGAGGGGGACAACAGUUGGAAACGACUGCUAAUACCGCAUGACACAUUGGGGUCGCAUGGCCCUGAUGUCAAAGAUUUAUCGGUGAUGGAUGGGGAUGCGUCUGAUUAGCUUGUUGGCGGGGUAACGGCCCACCAAGGCAACGAUCAGUAGCCGGACUGAGAGGUUGAACGGCCACAUUGGGACUGAGAUACGGCCCAGACUCC